rnacentral:misc_RNA from 1 species
UCUCCGUUGGUGAACCAGCGGAGGGUUCAUUACAGGACUCGCAAGACUCCUACAACCCUGUGAACUUAACUAUAAGCACGUUGCUUCGGCGGGUGUCUCGGAGGGGGUUCUCCCUCCCCGAGACGCUAAACCCGCCGGCAGCCUACUAUACUCUGUCUCUUUGCGUUGGCAUCUCGAGUACAAUCAAACAAGUUAAAACUUUCAACAACGGAUCUCUUGGUUCUG